AUGGAGGGAGCGCGGCAGAGGCCCGAAGAACUGAUCAAUAGCUAUGCGAAAGCUGGGGUGGGCGUCCGGAAGAUCGCAAACGCAAUCGGGUUCUUGGCGUUGCUGUGGUCCACCGUUGUGCUCCUCGGCGGCUUCGUUAGCGUCCUAACCAUCAAGGAUUUCUGGUCUCUCUCGGUGAUGAGCCUUCUAAUGGCAUCCAAGAUGCUGGAAUUUAUUGAUACCAACAACGGUGGAAUUUUCAUGGCAGAGAAGCACAUAUUACGUUUGAGCAAGGGACUAGAUCAACUUGAAGAAGCAAACCGAGCUACACAUCGGAUAAUUUUAUUCACUCUAUCCACAAUGAAAGUCGUGAAGCAAAUUUCCAUAAUCAUUUUAUUGUGCAUCUUUGGGUUUCCGUGGCAACUGAGCAUAGGACUCUCAGUCGCACGUCUUGUCCAACGGGAUUACGGCAACGCGGGUGAAGAUGCUGCAAACAAAGCAAAACUGAAUGCGGCACUGAUCGUCUUCUAUGUUCUCGUUAUCUUUCAUGGUUUAUCUGUGGGUUACUGGACAUUUCUUCAAGUUUUUGAGCCAUGGAUGUUGAUGAGCAAACAAUUUGGAUUUGGAGUUUGGGGUCCCAAAAUUGUUAAGAGAUACAAGACAGAAACUAGAGUCAAGUGUCAUAAGGAUGGGAUUUUGCCCAACAACUGGAACUUGAUCACAUUCAGUGUUGAGUUGCUGGAGUCUGCAUCUUCGGAUGACCGUCUAUGGGGAGCAAGGGUGCUCGAUACUUUCAUUGGGAAAGGUAUAUCUAUAAGACAAGAGCUACUAUCUUCCAGCCAAGCCAUUCAGAAUCUGGCCAACAUGAUUAUUGGUUCCACAAGAACAGAUGACCCUGAGAUCAGAGAGCGUGGCGCAAGGAUUGUAGCGGAUCUGGCCAGAGAGCUCCGUAUAAACCAAUUUCCAGAUGUACUACGAUGCAUAUGCUGCCUACUUGAAAGCUGCAAACCAUAUAAUAACCCACAAGUCACCAAUCCAUUGGCUAAGCAAACGCUUGAUGAAACAUCCGACAAUGUGUCAGCAGAAACCUUGGAGCGUAGUCACCAUCAAGAAGAUGCCCACUUGUCAUUGGAGAUCACCAAUCAAGCUGAGCAUAAUAAAGUUGUCAAUCUAGCAUCAGACAAGGUGCCCAAGAGAAGAUCAUGUAUCCAGAUAAUGCGCAUUCGAAUGAAGACAACAAGCUUUAAGGAAGCGCGCGAAUGGGAUAGAUAUUUUGGAGAUGAGUACCACUACUCCUAUGUAUCUAAAGGCACCAAAGAGCUGAUCUCUCAGGGCCUGGUGAUUCUUGAGAGGCUCACACAAGACGAAGAAAACUGUAUAGAGAUAGUCAGACACCAAAGGCUGGUCUCUAGGAUCACAUUACCAUUGAGCUACCAUGACUUCCUCUGCAACGGAUGCGACCACACAUGGGCUGACAAAUCACUCACAAUGGUCAGCAGGCUUAUCAGUGCUAAACCUGCUGACGACACCACAAGGCUGCGCUGUGAUAUGUCGGCCAGCGCAGUGACUAUCCGCAACUUGAUGCGUAUUUUGGAGGUUGAAGUUGGUGCCUCAGAACUGCACGAACAGGCAAUAGACAUUCUUACGGAGCUAGCCUUUGAUGAUUCUUUCAGAAAACUAGCUUUCGAUGAAUCCACAAGCAUGACAGAAAUGCUCAGCAACAUGCUACGACGCAUCUUCCUUGAAGAAAGCAAUGCUACAGUGGCAAAAGAGGACGAAGAGAAAGACAUGAGAGUGAGGAGAAAAGCAGGGGAAGCACUGGCCAGAUUGCUUAUUCGGGUCACAAGUGCAAGAGAUAACACUGAUGCAGUUACUAGUGUAACAAAUGUUAAUGCUGGUGAUCUACUUCCCAAGCAAGACGUGAUCAAUCUGUUGAGCAAGGUUGUUGAUAAAAUAUUAUCUACUAAAGUAGAAAAGGAUGCAGAUGUGGUGACACUGGCUGGUUCAAGCAAUAGCUGUCAUGUAGAAAUGGUUGUAGAAAGUCAGCCUCCAAAUGGUGCUGACACAAGCGAGUCCUCCACGCAGCCUGAGGAAGGAAAAAUGUUGGCGGCCCUGCUAAACCUUGCCGUGGCGAUAUGCACCGAACAUGUGAUCAGUGGAGAUGAGUUUACUCGUGCCGUCCCUGACAAAGCAGCACUCGUAAUGAAGCUCAAGGAGAUAGUACGAAUGGACAAGGGUGCCACAAGUGACGGCUGGAGAAUUCAGAAGUUUGUCUGUCAGCUGGUUAUAGCAAUGGUUCAGCUCAAGCCAAGCUGCAUCAGAGAGUUCAACGAACGUAACUUCAAGGAGACACUAUCCAAGGCUCUCGAGACCAUGUCGGAUGUCGACAACUGCAUGAUGUUUGCUGGCGAUGAUCGCGAGGUGCUUUUCAGGUCUCUCGCUUCUCUGGUGAAAGAGGCGCAUAAGCUCUUGGCACAAGAGCUGGGUGGCAUCCCUGUCUGA
rnacentral:rRNA from 1 species